rnacentral:misc_RNA from 1 species
GAUGAAGAACGUAGUGAAAUGCGAUAAGUAAUGUGAAUUGCAGAAUUCAGUGAAUCAUCGAAUCUUUGAACGCACAUUGCGCCCGCCAGUAUUCUGGCGGGCAUGCCUGUCCGAGCGUCAUUUCAACCCUCAGGCCCUGGUUGCCUGGUGUUGGGGCGCCGCGCACCCUCUGCGGGCGCGGGCCCCGAAAGUCAGUGGCGGGCUCGCCAGGACUCCGAGCGCAGUAAUUUUCUCUCGCUGUGGAGCGCCUGGUGGGUUACCAGCCGUAAAACACCCCAAAUUCCAAAGGUUGACCUCGGAUCAGGUAGGAAUACCCGCUGAACUUAAGCAUAUCAAUAAGCGGAGGA